AGGGACGGUAAUCAUGAUAAAGACAUUGAAAGGAGAGUGAAUGCUGGAAAUCGCUGUCGCAAAAAGCACGGUUGGCUGUACAUAGAGGGGUGUUGGUGCCUACACUCAUGUAUGGUAGCGAAAGUUGGGUAUGGCAGAAGAGGCAUCAGAGCCAAGUGAAUGCAGUGGAAAUGAGAGCGUUGAGAAGUGUGUGUGGUGUGAGAUUACAAGAUAGAAUUAGGAACA